rnacentral:rRNA from 1 species
CCGCUGUGAGCGGAGUGAAAUAGAACCUGAAACCGUAUGUCUACAAAGUGUCAGAGCAGAGCAAUCUGCGAUGGCGUGCCUUUUGUUUAAUGAGUCUGCGAGUCAGUGUUUGUGGCAAGACUAAGGGCUUCCGGCCCGGAGUCGCAGCGAAAGCAAGUCCGAACAGGGCGCAAUAAGUCGCAGGUACUGGACCCGAAGCGGAGGUGACCUACCCUUGGCCAGGUUGAAGCAUGGGUAAAACCAUGUGGAGGACCGAACAGGUGAACGUUGAAAAGUUCUCUGAUGAGCUGAGGGUAGGAGUGAAAGGCUAAUCAAACCCCGUGAUAGCUGGUUCUCUUCGAAAUGCAUUUAGGUGCAGCGUCACGUGCUGAUGCGCGGGGGUAGAGCACUGACAAGGCUAGGGGGCACACCCGCUUACCAAACCUUAUCAAACUCCGAAUACCGUGCAAUGGAACGUGGCAGUGAGACAGUGGGGGAUAAGCUUCAUUGUCGAGAGGGAAACAACCCAGACCAGCAGCUAAGGUGCCUAAAUAACGCUCAGUGGAAAGGAUGUGGGAUUACACAGACAGUGAGGAUGUUGGCUUAGAAGCAGCCACCAUUUAAAAAAUGCGUAAUAGCUUACUCAUCGAGUGAUCCUGCGCCGAAAAUGAUUGGCGAUCAAGCGUUAUACCGAAGCUCUGGACUUUGCCGCAAGGCAGAGUGGUAGAAGAGCGUUGCAUGCGCGUCGAAGGGCGAUGGCGACUGACCCUGGAGCACAUGCAAGUGAGUAUGCAGACAUGAGUAACGUUAAGCCGGGUGAAAUCCCCGGCCGCCGUAAACCCGAGGUUUCCAGGGCAACGUGUUUCGUCCCUGGGUUAGCCGGGACCUAAGCCGAGGCCGAGAGGCGUAGGCGAUGGACAUCAGGUUAAUAAUCCUGAGCUCGCAACCCUUAAACUGGGGGGACGCAUGAGAAAAGAUGACUAGGUUAUUGAAUUCCGAGUUGAGUCCACGGACUCAGCGCAUCAUUGGAUCGAGUGCCAAGAAAAGCCCCAGCGUAUGCUAAGCGACCCGUACCGCAAACCGACACAGGUGGGUGGGUAGAAUAUACCAAGGCGUAAGAGUGAAACCUGGUUAAGGAACUCGGCAAAUUAGCCCCGUAACUUCGGAAGAAGGGGUGCCUGCAGCGAUGCAGGCCGCAGAGAAAUGGCCCAACCGACUGUUUAUCAAAAACACAGCACUCUGCAAAGACGCAAGUCGAAGUAUAGGGUGUGACACGUGACCAAUGCCGAAAGAUUAAGGCAAGGGGUUAGCCGCAAGGCGAAGCUCUAAACCCAAGUCCCGGUGAAUGUCGGCCGUAACUAUAACGGUCCUAAGGUAGCGAAAUUCCUUGUCGGGUAAGUUCCGACCUGCACGAAUCGUGAAACGAGUUGGGCACUGUCUCAACCAGGCGCUCAGUGAAAUUGUAGUGGCGGUGAAGAUGCCGCCUACCCGCAGAAGGACGGAAAGACCCUAUAGACCUUAACUGUAAGCUGUCAUUGUUUCUUCGGUUUUAAUGCUCAGAGUAAGUGGGAGACGCUGAAGACGCCCUUUAGGGGGCGUCCGAGUCAUCAAUGAGACACCACCCUUUGAAACUGGAGGAUCUAACCCUGAGCCGUGAAUCCGGCCAGAGGACCGUGUCAGCCGGUCAGUUUUACUGGGGCGGUAUCCUCCCAAAGAGUAACGGAGGAGCGCGAAGGUGGGCUCAGCCCGGUUGGCAACCGGGUGUCGAGUGCAUGGGCAUAAGCCCGCCUAACUGUGAGACCAACAAGUCGAGCAGAUGCGAAAGCAGGCCCAAGUGAUCCGGCGGUAGAAAGUGGAAUUGCCGUCGCUCAACGGAUAAAAGGUACCUUAGGGAUAACAGGCUGAUCACGCCCAAGAGUUCAUAUCGACGGCGUGGUUUGGCACCUCGAUGUCGGCUCG